rnacentral:rRNA from 1 species
UGGGGAAUAUUGCGCAAUGGGGGGAACCCUGACGCAGCCAUGCCGCGUGAAUGAAGAAGGCCUUCGGGUUGUAAAGUUCUUUCGGUAUUGAGGAAGGUUGAUGUGUUAAUAGUACAUCAAAUUGACGUUAAAUACAGAAGAAGCACCGGCUAACUCCGUGCCAGCAGCCGCGGUAAUACGGAGGGUGCGAGCGUUAAUCGGAAUAACUGGGCGUAAAGGGCACGCAGGCGGUUAUUUAAGUGAGGUGUGAAAGCCCUGGGCUUAACCUAGGAAUUGCAUUUCAGACUGGGUAACUAGAGUACUUUAGGGAGGGGUAGAAUUCCACGUGUAGCGGUGAAAUGCGUAGAGAUGUGGAGGAAUACCGAAGGCGAAGGCAGCCCCUUGGGAAUGUACUGACGCUCAUGUGCGANAGCGUGGGGAGCAAACAGGAUUAGAUACCCUGGUAGUCCACGCUGUAAACGCUGUCGAUUUGGGGGUUGGGGUUUAACUCUGGCGCCCGUAGCUNACGUGAUANAUCGACCGCCUGGGGAGUACGGCCGCNGNUA